rnacentral:lncRNA from 1 species
AGACAUAUCUAUAUGCAUGUGGUACCAAUUCAUCAUAAUUUUGGAUAACUUAAUCCGAAUGUUUUUGAUAAUUUCUCAAUAGUUAGUUUUUUUACAUUUAUUUUAAGUCAUUUUUUAGUUAUGUUGAAUCAAUUCAGAGUAUUUUUAAAGUCAAACUGAGCAAAAGAAAAGAGGAUUUUGAACAUAUUCAGUUGUGUUGGUCAGUCUUGUAACUCUUGUUUAUAAUUCUCUCUAACCAAACAAAUUCUUGGAGUUUUUGUUAGCUAUUCAUUUUUGAUAGGUUGAGUUGACAAAAUAAGCUUAUGCAUGAGAAACCAAGAACAAGGUUCACGCACAAACCAAAGCAGGGACCUAUUUCCAUAAGAAAAUUGCAAAACAAAUUUCUCUACAAUAAAUUUCUCUACAAUAAUGCUUUUGGAGAAUUCAACUAGCCUAAUGUGGUCCCCACACGUUAAAUUACAGCCCAAAGUUACUCACCUCUUAUUAAAUCCAACGUGGCACAUCAUGAAGGAAUUAAAGCACAUGAUUGGAUCAAGGGAUAUAAUUGGAUUCUAAAGAGGGUUAUAUAAGUGGAGAGAGAGGAAGAACAAGGGGGUUGAAAAACGGAGGAGUAAAAGACGAUACGGAAAAUACACAGUGACGGCUGCAACUUGGGAGACCAAUUGGAGGGUGAUUCAACUGGCUUUGAUCAUCAUUCAACGGCAAUUCUAUGUGUAAUCCUCAAUUCCUUUUUAGUUUUUUGACAAAUAUUAUGAGUAGCUAAAUUUCCAAUUGUUAGGGAUGAGUUAUAUUG